rnacentral:tRNA from 1 species
GGGGCGUUGGCGCAGUUGGUAGCGCGUGACACUGGCAGUGUCAAGGCCAGGGGUUCGAAUCCCCUACGCUCCA